AUAAAUAAAAUCUUAAAAAAAAAAAAUUCUUGACUCCUUGCAUAGUAACCUUGAACAAGGUCGUGAUGUGAACUUGAACAAGUCACUGUGUUGAACUGAGCUGGCUUCAUAUGUGCAAUCAGGAAACUGGUCCCCUGGUCCAUGUUUAGGUUUUUGACAUGAUUAGACUCAUGUGAAAAUCUGUUGUAAAUUCUAAGCACUGUGACGUCACAAAGUGAUGUGAAUUGACAACAGAGUCAUGGACAGGAAGUUGUCCAUCCAGAGCGAUGUUGAGUUUUCAUUAGCCUGGGAAUAGGUCUUUAUGUCCGGAAUUAUGAGAUGGGUUUUGCCAUGGGGGAUGGCUAGAUAAAGAGGAUGUCCAGUUUGUGUACAUACUCUUAAGGCAUGAUUACGAAUAACUUCACAUCCUAUAAACAAUGUGACUGGAGAAAUUACUCACAGAUACAACAAAAAGGGGAAGAAAGACUUCAGUUGCUUGCUAAUUGGUCACCUGGCAUCCACUUGCUGCACCCCAGUUCAUUUGUCACAUUGUUGCCAUUGGAG